AAACUUAAAGGAAUUGACGGAAGGGCACCACCAGGAGUGGAGCUUGCGGCUCAAUUUGACUCAACACGGGAAAUCUCACCAGGCCCGAACAUCUCUAACGAUUGACAGAUUGAAAGCUCUUUCUUAAUGAAGUGGAUGGUGGUGCAUGGCCGUUCUUAGUUGGUGGAGUGAUCUGUCUGGUUAAUUCCGAUAACGAACGAGACUCUGUCCUGCUAAAUAGUGUCUGCUUCUCUUUUGAGCAGACAAUUCUUCUUAGAGGGACUGGCGACUCUUAGUCGCACGAGAUUGAGCAAUAACAGGUCUGUGAUGCCCUUAG
rnacentral:rRNA from 1 species